GUAGUUGUAAUUCGCAUCAAUCCAUAUGUAUUGGGGUGAGUUAGAGUGGAACUUGAACUAAAUUCUACUCUAAAUCACUCCAACACAUGUGGAUUGAGGUGAAUCUAACA
rfam:Sorghum bicolor cultivar BTx623 chromosome 4, whole genome shotgun sequence.